CUCGUAGGCGGUUCAGUAAGUCGGGUGUGAAAACUCUGGGCUCAACCCAGAGACGCCACCCGAUACUGCUGUGACUUGAGUACGGUAGGGGAGUGGGGAAUUCCUGGUGUAGCGGUGAAAUGCGCAGAUAUCAGGAGGAACACCAGUGGCGAAGGCGCCGCUCUGGGCCGUAACUGACGCUGAGGAGCGAAAGCGUGGGUAGCAAACA
rnacentral:rRNA from 1 species